GGCCCUUCCGGUGUCCCGCGUGCGCGCAUGCUUCUUAGUCUCUUUCGGGUGUUCGGCCUGCUGUCGCUGCAGCCUUUCACGUUUAUCGUGGUGUCUGAGAGUGGGGAGGGAACCGAUCAUCUCUGAAAGAGGCAGUUUUGAAGAGAUUCUGAUGGCAGUGGCUCCACUUCUCUGUUGGAUAGAAACACAGGUGCCGCGGCAGCGAGUGUCCACCAUUGCAGAGGAUGGAUGCCAAAGCCACGGUGGACAGCAGAAAAUGAGGGAAGAAAUCAGAGUCUCCAGACAACCAAGUGGAGUAGAGCCUAAACCUUACCUCGAAUUGUUACAAGAGAAAGGAAUUCACUUCAGUUUUCUUCAAACCACUGGAUUUUUUUUUUCAGUCCUCCUUGUUACAGUAGCCUAGCCUCACUCUGACUCACCAGCUGCCUUUCUGGACUCUGGCGCCAAGCAGGGGCUUAACAUCUGUCGGGUAACCGGCUGAGUCUGUUGAGUGACCAAUGUGAGCAAACCUCCUCCUCUCUAGUCUGUGCUAAGAACUCCUUGAGAGUUGGAAAUGUGUCUUCCACUUGUUUUCUUCUACACCAAGCACAACAUUGAACGUACAGUAGCUGACCAAAGAAGGAAUGAAGAAAUGAUGGAGAGAGACUUAAUGGGAAUCAGAGACAACAAUUAUUUGAUACUCUGCGGCAAUUAGGAUCCUUUGGCCUAAACAGUAAUAACCGUAGCCAACUUUGUCUAUGCGAAGAAAAGAAAUUUAUUAGAGGAUACAGAAGGACACAAGGUACUCACAGAAUCAGAAAGAAGUCUGGGAUAUUGGACUCUGAGGAGCAGAGGAAUCUGAACAAGUCUGUGGGGUAUUUAUGAAAAGAAAAUUAUCCAGUCCAUCCUAAAGGAAAUCAGUCCUGAAUAUUCACUG